AGAGAGAGCAGUUUGUCGAUUUCUUACCCGCCAUUCUUCAAUUGGUUUUUUCCUUACAAGGAAAAGCUUCAGUGUUUCGGUUUCUUUCAUACUUACAUAACCCAGACAGUGAAGACGAAGAAGGGUUUUCGCUCCUUUCAUUUAUCUUCAUCGUUGUCAAGGAGUAACACUGCAUUUGCCCAACUGUUAAAGAAAAGAGAACUGAAAAUUUUGGAUUAACCAUUUGUUACUGCUCGUAUUUAGGUAAGUUUGCUGAUUUGGUCAUUUAUCAACAGUUGAAUGGCUUGGAAUUUUUGGUGCAUUUCUU